rnacentral:rRNA from 1 species
GACGGAGGAUGCAAGCGUUAUCCGGAAUUAUUGGGCGUAAAGCGUCCGCAGGUGGCUGUUCAAGUCUGCUGUCAAAGCGCAGAGCUUAACUCUGUACAGGCGGUGGAAACUUAAGAGCUAGAGUAUGGUAGGGGUAGAGGGAAUUCCCGGUGUAGCGGUGAAAUGCGUAGAUAUCGGGAAGAACACCAGUGGCGAAAGCGCUCUACUGGGCCAUAACUGACACUGAGGGACGAAAGCUAGGGGAGCGAAAGGG